rnacentral:pre_miRNA from 1 species
AAAGUACUCCCUCCGUCCCAAAAUUCUUGUCUUAGAUUUGUCUAGAUACGGAUGUAUCAAGUCACAUUUUAGUAUUAGAUACAUCCGUAUCUAGACAAAUCAAAGACAAGAAAUUUGGGACAGAGGGAGUAGUUG